GCUUCCCCCAGAGCGCUACUUACUCCUCGGAGCUCCCCUCCUCUUCCCCCCUGCGAUCGCGCCCAAUCCCCUCCGUUCGAGAAACCCUAGCUGCUCCUCUCCUUCUCCGCAGCGAGAAGAGCCUCCUCCCUCACUGAGUUUCUCCAUCGUUCUCGUGGCUCCUCCCCAGUAGCGGACGUGAUCGGUCCCUCGCGAAGCUAGGGUUUCUCAUAGCGGAAGAGGUGAUACAAAUCCUCGUUCGCGCGCGCCUAUAUUCGGAUUUUCGAGUAGCUAGUAUGCGAUGGAUGAGUACAAGCGUUCUAUGGAUCUGGCUUCGGGACGCGUCUCUGGAAGCGAUCACAGUAAUUUCCUAUUUGACGAAGACAAGCUUCAGGAGACGCACGAUGAGGAAGGAUCUGAUUGGAUUAACAACAAGAUGAGGGAUCUCGCCAAGGCCAUUCGAGAUGACAAUCCCGCUCUCUUAGUCUCAUUGUUCAAAAGUGUUCAAGUGGAGGCUCCAAUCGGAGCAGAUCCGAAGGACAAGGAGACUGGAGAUCUCAAAUCCCUAGAUCCAGGAACCCUAGUGCGUCUCCUCCACCUAGCUUGCAAGAUGGAUUCAGCAGAGUGCGCAAAGGUUCUGAUCGAAGGAGGAAUUGGAGUAGCAGCCAGCGUAAAUGAGAGGGACAGGUCGGGGCGAACUCUGCUGCAUGUUGCGGCGGAGAUGCACUCAUCAAAGUGCAUCAAUCUGCUCCUACAGAAGAAUGCCCGAACAGAUCUAAGGUCAAAUGACGGGAGAUCACUUCUCGCUCUUGAGAUCGCCUUGUCAAGUGCAAGGAUGCAGGUCGAUUGGUCACCAAACCAGCCAAUUGAAGAGUUGCUGACUAUUCUGAGAGAACUGGACAUGAAUGCAAUCAGAUUGCUAGCCGAGAAAACUAGAGAUGUCGCAGAGGUUGCCUACACAAAUGCUAUGGAAGGGCGAGUUGUUGCACUGGCUGCAUUGCUUCUGGUGACCAAGGAGAAGGUCACGGCGCCAGUAGCCAUAACCAGCCGAAGGGAAGGCAUGAAGAAGAAUAGAACAUUAUAUGGUUCACUGUUUGAUGAGGCUCUGGCGCUGGGUGAGGGGGCAAUUCAGGUUAGACUCAGACAAUGCAGUGGGGAUGGCUCAAGUGAUAGUAGUGAGCGGAGAAAAGCUUUACUACGUGAGAUCGAGCUACUCCAGUUAUUUGGUGCUGUGUCAUACAGCGACUCAAAGGACAAGAAAAGCAUGCCACCUCUCCUUCGGGCUUCCCAGGCUCACGACGAGCCUGUCAUAAAGCUGCUACUGAAGGGUGGUGCCAACACGAAUGAAUCCGAUUCUGAUGGGAACUCCUCACUUCAUUGGUGCCUCACUGGUAGCUCUAGUUCGCAGGAUCUCAGGAUUAUGUUGCUCCUGCUGAAGAAUGGUGCUGCAGUGUCCCAUAAGAACAGAUUAGGGCUCACGCCAGUACAUGUGGCUGCAGCUAAAGGCAAAUCUCAGGCACUUCAACUGCUGCUUCUUCAUGCCCCUGAGUGCGUAGACAUUGUGUCUGAGAGAAAGGAAACUCCGCUAUUUUUUGCUGUGAAGAGUGAUUCUCUUGCCUGUGCACAGUUCCUCUUGCACUCUGGAGCUAAUAGCCAGGUUCUCAACCUCCGGAGGCAAAGACCAAUUGAUAUGGCAAAAUCACAGGACAUGCGUUUCAUUCUUAAUCCAGCAAACCAGGGAUUUUGUAGCCGUUUUAGCCCUUCUAAAGAAGAUCUCCUACUUUCGUUACCUAAAGAUGAGUUCACUGAGGACAUGUAUGAAGAGCUUCUUGAGUUGGGUGAAACUGGAGUUAGUAGAAGCAACCUUCAGUUGAAAACACCAGUAUGCCGCUACUACGAAUCCCAGAGUGGAUGCGUGAGAGGCGCCAAAUGCUUCUAUGCCCACGGGGAAGGUGAUAAAAAAAGAAGCAAGGUCUGUUCUGUUGAACUCAAGCAGACCCCAAAGUGUGUAACCAAGUAUCCUCUCAAGUUGAAGGGAGACUUGAAUCGGAAGGUUUUCGUGGGGGGUCUCCCACCUACGGUUGACUCUGCAGACCACCUCAAGGAGUUCUUCGAAGCAGAAUUUGGACCAGUAAAGGAAGCUGUUGUCAUUGGGACGCAAGCUGGCAACUAUAUGCAGUCCCGAGGUUUCGGCUUCGUCACCUUUGAACACGAGGAUAUGGUGGCAACCGCAAUACAAGCCCACUUUGUCAACAUCUUUGGUAAGAAAGUGGAGAUCAAAAGUGCUGUUGCAAAACCAGCCGAAGCUUUGAAAACAGCUGCUUUGCAGCAACAGCUCAUUCUGAAGGAACCGAACCUGCACAAUGACCCCCUCAAUGAAUCACCUGAAACGCUUGAUGAGCAGAGUCUUCCUGAUUGGUUCUUUAAAUUCAGGAAGUGGCUACCAGCUUUUCUCAAGGCAGCAACACAACGUCUCGGAGGAGAAUGGUAUCCUCUUUCCUCUCUUAAAGGCGACUUCAGGGCCACGUGCGGGAUGGAGCUUGAUCAUGUCUCUCUGGGCUUCCUCAAGCUUAGUGACUUCAUGCGAGCCCUUCCUGGUAUAUGCAGAAUGCGGAUCGUUCCUGUGGGAGCUGGCCCUGCGACUCACAUGGUCCUUUCCCCAUUGCUCUUCCCACACAAGCAUGUAAAACUGCUUCCACCAUCAUCACAGCAACAAGAGCAGUUGCAGCAGCCACCAGACUUGGAUGCGGACCUACACUUGAGUGAGCUUAUAGAAAGCCAGCUUGUUGACAGCUAUGCUGGGAAAAAUAGCUUAACAGAUGGUGGCAGUUCGAAGGUUUUAGACUUUGAUUUGCUUGGUUUAGGAUACACAAAUCAAACUAAUACAUGCUAUGGAGAUCAGCCAGAAGAAAGGGGAAAUAUAAGCGCUGGAUCGAGCUUUUCUUUGUUCCAGACACAGUGGGAUCGCUAUUUGCAGGGAAUGUGCAUAAUAUGUCACUUCCGGGAAGCUUCAUUGCAGCUCAUCCCGUGCUCUCAUAAAGUGUGUGGUGUCUGCAUGGUGAGGCGCACCUUCACGUCGUGUAUGAUUUGUGGUUCUGCUGUCUACGGAGUCAAGCCUUCACCCCCAUCUUCAGAGCCAGAAUGCUCGGAGAUGGGAACCAGCGGAGAGCAAUCUCUUUGCAUCCAGAGAUCCUUGUCCCCUUUCCCAAGCAUUGAAGUAGGAAAAGGUCCUGUGGAGCCUAAGUGCCGACUGAGAGUUGCUUGCCAAGGGGCUAGGGCAACAGUGAGCUGUUUACCUUGCGCGCACAGCAUUGCUUGCCGCCAAUGCAUACUCUCAUUUGCUAGGAUGCCUCAAAUAUGUGUUGUAUGCGGUUUCGAGGCGGAGCUCUUCCAAUUUUCUGAUGCAUAGAAUGAUCUAUAGUUUUUUCUUUUAUUUCUACAUGUCUGUAAUUUGUUACAUUAGGGAGGAUGGUAUAACGACCUUGUAAGCUACUGGAGGGGAGUCCUUCAAUUUUGUCAUGCUUGCAAGGUCUGCCGACUGUAAGUAUAUUGCCUUAGACUUUAACCUACUAACAUCACUCCUGUAAGCUUGUGGAGGAGAACCCAAUCCCUCCAAUUUUGGUACACUUGCAGGAGCAUGUAUGUAAAGUGAUACAUCCCUCAAUCAGAGGAAUAUUUGCAUAGAAAAUUUCUCUCUUUCAAGAGGUGGAAGGAACGUAAGCCUAGUGAGAUAAUUCUCUGGAGAAGCUCAG